rnacentral:rRNA from 1 species
GACGAACGCUGGCGGCGUGCUUAACACAUGCAAGUCGAACGGUAAGGCCCUUCGGGGUACACGAGUGGCGAACGGGUGAGUAACACGUGGGUGAUCUGCCCUGCACUUCGGGAUAAGCCUGGGAAACUGGGUCUAAUACCGGAUAGGACCCUGGGAUGCAUGUCCUGGGGUGGAAAGCUUUUGCGGUGUGGGAUGGGCCCGCGGCCUAUCAGCUUGUUGGUGGGGUGAUGGCCUACCAAGGCGACGACGGGUAGCCGGCCUGAGAGGGUGACCGGCCACGCUGGGACUGCGAUACGGCCCAGACUCCUACGGGAGGCAGCAGUGGGGAAUAUUGCACAAUGGGCGCAAGCCUGAUGCAGCGACGCCGCGUGAGGGAUGACUGCCUUCGGGUUGUAAACCUCUUUCAGCACCGACGAAGCGCAAGUGACGGUAGGUGCAGAAGAAGGACCGGCCGACUACGUGCCAGCCGCCGCAGUAA